GCGAGGGUGGCGGAACUGGUAGACGCGCUAGCUUGAGGUGCUAGUGGGAGUAAUCUCGUGGGGGUUCGAGUCCCCCCCUUCGCA
rnacentral:tRNA from 1 species